GGGAAUUUUCCGCAAUGGGCGAAAGCCUGACGGAGCAAUACCGCGUGAGGGAGGAAGGCUCUUGGGUUGUAAACCUCAAAACUUAGGGAAGAAAAAAAUGACGGUACCUAAUGUAAGCAUCGGCUAACUCCGUGCCAGCAGCCGCGGUAAUACGGAGGAUGCAAGCGUUAUCCGGAAUCAUUGGGCGUAAAGAGUCCGUAGGUGGCACUUCAAGUCUGCUUUCAAAGACCGAAGCUCAACUUCGGAAAGGGAGUGGAAACUGAAGAGCUAGAGUAUAGUAGGGGUAGAGGGAAUUCCUAGUGUAGCGGUGAAAUGCGUAGAGAUUAGGAAGAACACCAGUGGCGAAGGCGCUCUACUGGGCAUAUACUGACACUGAGGGACGAAAGCUAGGGGAGCGAAAGGGAUUAGAUAC
rnacentral:rRNA from 1 species